AGUUACUUAAGCCCAACGUACAGAAACUUGAAUCUGAAUGCCGUUCUAGAUUGGCUUGCUAGAAGUUUGUUCGUUUGGCUCGAGUUAUGC
rfam:Aedes aegypti strain Liverpool supercont1.309 genomic scaffold, whole genome shotgun sequence.